AAAUCUCAUCCUAAUCUGGUUGCA
rnacentral:miRNA from 1 species